UGCUGUGUUGAUACCGAACAAAAUGGCUGCAGAGGCUUGAUCCUGACCCGACACUCUCAGCGCUUUCUCCGGACACUCCGCACUUAUCCCUGGAUAUUUCCACUGUCGUUUUAAAAGCAUCUCUGGAUUUCUCGACACGACUGCAGCCAGACUGCUCGCCACAUCGCUCGCUAUCUUUAUUUUUGCACUUUAAUGAAGCGGCUUGCAUCGUAUAAUUUCAUGUCAGUUUACCAGACAGUAACGUUAGCAGCUUCAAACUGCCCUUUUCCUUAACUUGCACCGUAGAUGAGAUGCUAUUUCUGAUGACCACUUUAUGCCACUGUAAUUGACAAACUGCCUCGCUGAUUUAACGUUAAUGUAUUUUUUCCUGGCUUUUCGAGUGUAUUUAUGUCAUGGAAAUGUCAUCUGCUGUUUUUCCAGCAUGUAAGCUUCUAUAAUCUCCACCAGAGCCCGAAGCUCUGAGUCUGCAUAGAAAUUUCACAACAGUCCUUUUCCCUUUGCAUAUUGAAUUUUGCGUUUAUUGUCGUUCUGUUGCCUUUUUGGGACUCUUUCAGCUGCUCAUUCAGUACAGUGUUACCUGGGUCUGUCUGUUUUUACGGGUACAUUUUUUUUUCUGGAAAAAAGGCCUUUUAUACCGCCGUACAACAUGCAACACUUUUUUAAAGAAAGCUGCCAAAGCUCGACUUGUGAACAAAAAGCUGAGAGAAGCUGAACAUCACGAGGAGAGAACCAUUUGAUGGAAGAAAAGAAAAGGCUAGAAGAAGAGACAAAGAAGGAUACUACACAGAAAACGGAUACUGAACAGAAAAUCAAAGGCAAGUACUCUUUAAAGUCCUUUUCAUCUUUAAAAAUACAAUAUUGUUAUAUUUCAACAGAAGAGUAAUGUAAUUCAGCUCAAAUUUAAUGCGGCUCCUGUGUUGUAAGGUCAGCAGAUAUGGAGAUCUCCCUCAUUAGUCUGAAGAUAGCUUUUGUCGCUCUGAUUUCAUGCCUGUGCGGACUAAUGCUUGGUGACACAUGCUUUAUUUCAUUAGCAUAUGUUCACUGGGCUGUAGGGAAACCCAGAUGGGUAAUACUGGGUAUCACUCCCUCAGUAUCAGCAGUUUGCUGGAUUUAAUUUAUGGACUUGUUUUUUUUUUUUUU